rnacentral:rRNA from 1 species
AAUGAACGUUGGCGGCGUGGAUUAGGCAUGCAAGUCGUGCGAGAAACCAAGUAGCUUGCUACGAGGUGGACAGCGGCGAAAGGGAGAGUAACGCGUGGUUACGUGCCCUCGAGACCGGGAUAGUGUCGGGAAACUGGCAGUAAUACCGGAUAACAUCUUCGGAUCAAAUGGUGUGAUUCCGCUCGAGGAUCGGACCGCGUACUAUUAGCUUGUUGGCGGGGUAAUGGCCCACCAAGGCUGCGAUGGUUACCGGGUGUGAGAGCAUGGCCCGGCUCACUGGGACUGAGACACUGCCCAGACAUCUACGGAUGGCUGCAGUCGAGAAUCUUCGGCAAUGGACGAAAGUCUGACCGAGCGACGCCGCGUGCGGGAUGAAGGCCCUCGGGUUGUAAACCGCUGUCAGUUGGGAGGAAAUUCCAUCGGGUUCUCUCGAUGGAUUGACCAAUCUUCAAAGGAAGGACGGGCUAAGUUCGUG